GGGCUCGGGGAAAGCUCUGUUGGGGGAGUGACAUUUAAGUUGAAUUAGCCAGAGUGUGCCCGCCUGGGCAAAAGUCAGGAGAGGAGGAGGGCUCAGCAUUUUCAGGUGAUUCAGUUUUGCUGGAGGAGGAGGCAGAGAUUAGACCCAGCAGGCAGGAGAUGGAGGGCCCUGGAGGACAGGGCCUGGUCUGGCUUGUUUGUUACGAUAUUCCUGGUGUUCACUGCGGAGCCUGAUCAAAGCAGGCCGAGAGGCAUGUGGGAUCUUAGCUUCCUGACCAGGGAUCGAACUCACACCCCCUGCAUUGGAAGGUGAAGACUCAACCACUAGACCACCAGAGAAGUCCCAGCUCUUUUCUGUUUCUAUAGUUUCGCCUUUUCUAGAAAUACUUUUGAGAUUCAUCGAUGUUGUACAUAUAUACAUUUUUGCUUAGCAGUAUUCCACUGUAC